rnacentral:lncRNA from 1 species
CCAGGAAGCUCCAGGUCGUACUCCGAAGGAACCCCGUACCAAGCCCUUAUCAGAAGGAGUUCAUCCAGAGUCGACGAACAUGGAAUGGCGCCCGGUGCAAAAACCGGGCGAGGCCCUGCCCCAGACGCGGGUUUGUCCGCAGAGACAGGGACCUGGGGGCUCGAAGCAGAAGAACUCUCAGAACUGACGGGGGCAGAAGAGUCAGAAGAUAUUUUGAGCAGUUUUGGAGGGAGAACCUAAAGGAUCCUAGAAAGGCAGACCGAAAGGGGAAUGAGACGCCGAAGGCCAACUCAGAAGAAGACACAAAAGUAAUGAAAAGAGGAGAAGCCCCUAGGCGGUAAGAAGAAGGUUGGCACUAACCUAUAUUGCUCUGGGGACCUGGGGAGCGAGAAACGGGAGGCGCCUACAGCUCGAGAAGACGUUCACUAGAGCAGGCUCUCGAAGAGAAGACAGAUGCCAGCAAAAAAUCAGAAAUGGAGUAGGACGCCUGAAGGGGGGAGGACGGGUUUAAAUAGACCCUGGGAUCCGACGCCAUAA